rnacentral:rRNA from 1 species
AGUCGAACGCCCAGCAAUGGGAGUGGCGCACGGGUGCGUAACGCGUAUGUAACCUACCUUAUUGAGGGGGAUAGGCCGGAGAAAUUCGGAUUAAUACCGCAUAAGAUGGAAAACUGGCAUCUGUUUUUCAUGAAAGAUUUAUUGCCAUAAGAUGGACAUGCGUCUGAUUACUUAUUUGGUGAGGUAACGGCUCACCAACACCAUGAUCAGUAGGGGUUCUGAGAGGAAGGUCCCCCACACUGCCCCUGAGAUACGGGCCACACUCCUCCCUCAGGCAGCAGUAGGGAAUAUUGGGUAAUGGAGGGAACUCUGACCCAUCCACGCCCCGUGCAGGACGAAGGAGCUACGCCCUCCAAACUGCUUUAGCAGGCGNNNNNNNGGCGCCUGCCCACAAUAUUUGACGGUACCCUGAGAAUAAGCACCGGUUAACUACGUGCCAGCAGCCGCGGUAAUACGUAGGGGGCAAGCGUUGUCCGGAUUUAUUGGUUUUAAAGGGUGCG